ensembl:lncRNA
GAGUCUAGCUUUGGAGCCAGAUGCUGUGUGUCCCAAUUCCAGCAUGACCGGUCUUGUAUGAAUUACUUAGUCUGCAUCCCAGUGUCCACAUUUGUAAAAUAGGGAUCACAGAAAUUCCCACCAGCCCAUGUAAAAUUCUCAGGAUAAUGCCUGGCAACUAAUGCUGGUGAUGAUGAUGAAAGUGAUGAGAAGGAUGCAAAUGUAUUUGGGGAAAAUGAGAGUACAAGAGAAAAAGUAUUUGUUUUCGAAUAUGGGCGCUAGACCAGCUGACCCUCACCAUUUAAAGAAGAGUAAAGAGAAUAUCAGAAAUAAAUUAGGUUUGGAAUUAGACUGGAAAGAUAUACCCAGUUAAUAAAUAUAUUCUAAGUCAAGACAAUUGUCUUUCUUGGUACUGAUAGAAAUAUUAUUAGCAGCAUUUAGCAUAGUUUAAAAAUAAAACAUUUGGAGCCAUUAUUGCUCCAAAUUCACAAUGGAGCCAUUACAUUGCAAUUUCAAAACAAAGUUGAGGAGUUCCCAAUGUGGCUCAGCAGUAACGAACCUGACUAGUAUCCACGAGGACACAGGUUCUAUCCCUGGCCCCGCACAGUGGGGUAAGGAUUUGGUGUUGCCGUGAGCUGUGAUGUAGGUUGCAGACAUGACUCGGAUCCAGCAUUGCUGUGGCUGUGGUGUAGGCUGGCAGCUACAGCUCUGAUUCCACCCCUAGCCUGGGAACCUCCAUAUGCUGCAGGUGCAGCCCUAAGAAGAAAAAAAAAGUUGAGUAAGGAACCAUGGUCUCUGGAUUUAAUAGCAGGUUUCACAGAGAUUAUGAGAUGACAAUGUGGGAUAAUAAACAUUUUUAUUGCUACACGUAUGAGAUCAUGGCAUCAUUCAACAAUGAUAGACAAAAUAGCCUGCCUCCAAGAAGAGAGGGGCGUCUCUCCACAAGGCCUUUUCCAAAGCUGAGCUAUGGUUAUUCUUGAUGCCUCUGACCAUAUUUUGCCACCCAUUUUCUAAGACAAUGGCCAAAUAUUCCCUCCUGGAAAGCUAGACCCACUUGGGCCUUACCUUCAUGAGGCUGUGAUGCAUGUCACAGCAGACAUAGACCCUAGAGAGCAGCUCUGUCAUUCGCCAAAGAAGCUUCCGAAGGCCAAGCAGCUCUCCCACCCACCCAGCCCCACUUGCUUCACAGCUGCCUCUGCCCAGCUGGACAAUGCACCUGACCUCUGCCUGGGAUACCCCUGCCCUCCUUAGUGUCACAGGCUGGGGUAAACGGCCCCCCGCACAGAUUCAGCUUGGCUUCUCCACCAGCUGAGGGAGAUUGCGGGGCUGUCUCAGAUCUGCCAAAAUUAUUCCAGCAACACUUGGCAAAAGCCCAGGCUGUGAGUUCUUCACACUAAAAAUGCAGAAUUGGGGUCGAUAUUCUUACUAUGCUUGUCUUAAUGCCAGGAGUUUAAAAAUAAUAUAUAUACAUUAUAUAUAUUCAGGGAAAGGACCAGGAAGCAGCUGGGCAGCCAGACUGAGAGGCUGGAUAAAAACAGAGCAGCUGUGUUGAUCUUAAGCCUGAGCUGGCUGCGUAACCCUUGAUUUCUUUGAACUCUAGGCCUGAGGAUUCAGGGCCAUAAAACAGAGCUAACAAGUGUUGAGCUAUCUGAUUGCUUGCAAGACAUAAAGAGUAGAGUUGAUUGUUAAGCAGUUUGCAAAUGGAAAGUAUUGCAGAAAUGCUUAUAAUAAUAAAAGGCUAAUUAUAGCACUUUCUCAGGUUCUGGGACUUCUGUAAUGGGAAGGAUGGUACGUGCAAGACCCAACACAUCUAUCAAAGACUGGCAGCAUGUCUACAAAAGUAAAUACUCUGUUGCAUAUGGUGAUAUCUCAUCUGCUGAUCCACAUAAUAAGUCUUGCUGGACAGCUGCUUGAGGUGAAGAUAAGCAAAGCAAGCAUGAGAGUGAGUGUUUGACAGUCACUUAUGCACAGGUAUAGAAACCUAAAGUAGGUUUCAGCUGGAGAAUAGAGAGGGCAUCUCAUGCCUCUUGGUAUCUUAUGGUUAAUAAAGUACCUAGCAUUCUGCCUGGCACAGAGUAACUGACAGUAUAUCAUUGGUUCUUUCCUCUGCCCCUAGAGUUUUGUCUCCGUGGGAGAUGGCUUGGGGAGGGGUCAUAGGGAACUGUGGGUGCGAAGAGCACAGUGUCUAAACAAAAUCAGUGGGAUUGCCAGGCACAUGCAGCUCAGAGAGUCUAUCUCUAGUUCCUCCUUCCUACCAGAUCAUCGACUCUUUGUCACACCUACGAAGACAUUUUUGAAUUGUCAUUGGUUACCUUUUAUUCUGUGAGAGCCACAGAAAUGCCUGUUGACUCACCUGUGUCUCUUCUGGACAUUUAUAGCACUCUGGGAUUGUGGUUCCCUUUAGUGAGUGCCUCACUGAACAGAUUCCUAUUUGUUGAGUAUUGCUUAUUGCUGUGGCUAUUUUUAUAAGCAUCACCAAAAGCUUUUAAUCCUCUCUCCGUUGCAUGUAUUGUUGGUGGUGAAAAUUAACCUUUUGGCAGAGAGUGUAGUGAGCAAGGAAAGGGGAGUUGAGGUAGCAAGCAGUCUAUAGAAAGAUCCUUGGGAAAAAAAAAACCCUUACCACUGCAUUGCAUAUUGCAUUCCAUUAGAGAACAACGGAUUAGAAACAAAGCACAAAUCUGGCUGAGAACCUGAAAGGCAAGUUUCAGCAUGAGUGAAUUUUUAACAGCCUCAAAGGAGGGGAUAAAAUGAAAUUCUGACAACCUUAACUACACUUCUUUCUUGAAGCAUUGCCAUAACAAUAGAAGGUGAAAUGUCAGCAGUCACCUAUUAUUCCGUCUAACAAUCGUUGAUCAUUUUUCCUCAGUGGGAGCGCUUGCCCUUGUAUAGUUUCGACUCUGCAUUUUGACUGAUGCCCAAGGACAGCAAUUACUUAAGCCUUUCACCUGCACUUGGACAGCACAGCCAGGACCUGUUCUGCAAUGCUAAGUCCUCCACGGGUUUGCUCCUGGUGACUUCAACCAAGCAAAGGAGCCCUGUGAUAUAGGCUACUUAUUGCCUCUGCUUUUUAAAACCACCCAAAUAACCUGUAUUCAUCUCUAAGCCUUGGAAACACACUAUUGGUCAUGUCCUCUGAAAAGGAGAACCCAACUUCUUUCUGCAUGUCAGAAAAAAACCACUUCUUACAUCCAGAGAUCACAGAGUCUCCCUCAGAAUGCACUAGAAGAGUAGGCACUGCUUGUGGUUAUCACGGAGAGGAGCAGGGAGGGCCUUCUAUUUAGUUCUGUUGGCUUAACAAGCAUGCUUUGAACAACUGCCACAUUCACCCAUCUCACACAUCUGCUGGGGCAGAGGUACCAAGAUAGACUAUUGUGAAGACCCAGCCAGUCAAAAGCUUCUGUUCUCUGGGAAAAGUCAGAGGAGGUGUGUAAGUUAUUGAGGGAAGGCAGCUGACCAGGGAAGUAACCUACCUCAGGGUUAGAAACUGGAAUAUUAGAAUCAGUCAUGACCUAUACAACUCCAAGGUCCUCAAGAAUAGGCAGCUAAAGGAAAUGAAUGGUGGGUGGGUUGCCUGAGCACAAUCCAAAUGGAACACCAUCUCCUAACUCCAGUUCUCAGGGCCGUCUGUAGGUGCUGGCCCAUUACUGCCAGGCCUUCAGCCUUUUCAAAAGAAUUUGUGUUAGUGUUGACCAACAGUUCACCAUCUUUAACUCCUGAAAAGUCAACACAAAACAAUUCCAAGGAUGAAACGUGGCUUAUGGGCCAGUAGUUAUUUUUCUCUGAGUUGUGGCAUGUUCUGUCAUAAAAUUCAAUACUAUCUAUGUUCAUUAUCUUUGGCUGUCACAGGUUAGGUUCUAGGAAGCAGAUUCUGAAACAGAGUUUAGCCAGGAGACAGUUUAUUGGGGAGGAGAGGUCUUGUGAUAUGCCUGUUGAUCUGCUAAUUUGUUGGGGAAAGAGAGGUCUUACAAUACACUUGCUGGUUGGUUGGGGGCAUAUGAGGCUUCUACAGAGGUGGGAUGAGGAGUGGGCCACAUACCUUUCCUAGUAGGGGACAGGAAGGAGUAGGCCAGGUUGCUCAGGUUCGGGGAAGGAGCAUCACAAUGAAACAGGUGGGGAGGUGAUAUGGGUCUGGUGAUUCUUGUCUUGGCCAGAGGCUUUGAGUUCAAUCUCCUUGGAGGGCCCUUGAAGCCCAACAAAGUUGAGGUGCGAUGCCAUCCCAGUGGAGGUCUUAGUCAACCUUCCAGGAGCACUGAGUCUGGGAUGGCCCUGCAGUGCUGCUCCAAGUUGAAUGAAAAGGCCCAGCCUUUAUAUCAGUCAUUGGAUGUGGAUUGCUUUGGGAACCCACAAUGAUGUUGAGGUAUGAAGGAUGCAUCUGCUCAUGUACCUGCACUGCCGUCUAAAAACCAAGUCUCUUGCAUACAGGGGUCACAUUAUGUUCAAAGUGGAGAGCUCAGUGCAUGGCACCUACAGGAUAUCAAAAAUCAAGUGUCACAAAAAUGAGUGAGUCAUUCCAUUCCAUCUCCUUAUACUUAGGUUGAACCUUGAUGCUUUUAAAGGAAUAUCCCUCAGGGCCAGCAGCACUCCCACAGGCUGGGGACCCAGAGGGCAAUCCAGGUGGUACAUCACAAUACAGCACAGUGGUUGGUAGGCUUUUCUGCCUGUAAAGUGAUGCUUCUGAAAACAAGGACUAGGUCUCCAUCAUCUUUGAACUGGUCUGAUACCAUGCUUUUGAGAAGAAAUGAUUAUGCGUUCAUUGCUUUUCCUUUCAGUCCCCUCCUUUCUCUGAGUCUUUUGCUGGCCUGCAUGUUUCCCACAGAGGCUAUUGGAACAGAAUUCUUCAACUCACUGGGGAAUUCCUAGCCCCAGUAUCUAAACCCAGAGCUGCACUAUUGUGGCCUAUAGUCCAUAUCUGGGGCAUUUAUAAGCAUCGAGGUCAACCUAAGUAUAUGGAGAUGGAAUGGAAUGACUCACUCAUUUUUAUGACAGUUGCUUUUUGAUAGCCUACAACGUGCCAUGCGUUGAGCUAUUCACUAUGAACGUAAUGUGAUCCCUGCAUGCAAGAGACUUUGUUUUUAGCUGGCAGUGCUAGUGCAUGAGCAGACAAAUACAGGAUAGGGGCCCUCAUAGGUGUGGUCACAGGUGUUACCUUGGAAGGCCACUUGGAUUAAAGCUCCUAGUUAGAAACAAUCAUAAUAAUCUUGGAGAACAAUUCACCAAGGCAAUGCUGCUUGGGCCACUGAGGCUCAGGUCAUAAAAUCUGCCAAGGAGGUAGACUCUGCAAGACCCAGGAAAUAUUAGCACACAGGAAGAGUGAGGAGUUAAGGACCCUGCCGUAUUGUCCAGGUUGCAGGGUUCCAUGGUUGUAGAUUGGGAGGGUGUGAACGAAUAAUGGAAUAAUUGAGGAGAAAAAUGCAAAGCACUAAGUAUACGCUACUCAUAAUUAAGAGUUUAGUACUUAAUAACUGUCUGUGGAAUUUAUUCUUCCCUGUGAAAUAAAGCAAGCAGUCAUUAAUAGCUCAUGUAUGUCAUGUUUUGAUAAAUAUAAUUAGAGGCAUGGCCAGCGUCCUUUGCAAGGACAAAAAAAAAGAGGAAGGCUUUCAUUUUAGUUGAUGAGAUAGGAGAAUCUUCCUGAAGUGGAUAAUGAUGAUGAAGAUGAUGAUAUCAAUGGAAAGAAUUCCUUAUAUGGAGGCUUAUUAAGUAUGAGAGUUGCUUUAAGUACUUCAUCAUUUCUCAUUUUAACCCAUCUCAUUCUUUCUACAAUCCUGCAAUAUAUAUACUGCUAUCAUCAUCCUCUUCGUAUAGAGAAGAGGACACUGAGGUUCUCAGAAACUAAGCAAUUUGCCCAAGACUCAUUUUCUGUGGUGGCCCUGGGAUUUGAACCCAGGUUGUCUGAAACCAAAGUCUGGCAUCUUAUCACAAAACCAUGCAAUCUCCCACUUGAAAUUGAUCUGGAAAUAAACAUGGGAGAGGAAAGCAUUCAAAUGGAAGGAACUAUUUUUCAAAGAUAUAAUGAUAUUUUCAGUUUGGGGGGAGAAGCAAGAGGUUUGACAAAAGGUGAGGUGCAGAAGUGGGAGCAUGGUUUAAGGAUAAGUUUGCAGCAUUAGAUUACAAUCUCCGGAGAUGGCUCUAAAUACCUAGCUUAGAAGUGAGAGGAGUUCCCAUUGUGGCAAAAAGGAAACGAAUCCAACUAGGAACCAUGAGGUUGAGGGUUCGAUCCCUGGCCUCACUCAGUGGGUUAAGAAUCCGGCGUUGCUGUGAGCUGUGGUGUAGGCCAGCAGCUGUAGCUCCUAUUCGACCCCUAACCUGG